CGUUUGCUCCCAGUGGCCCCGUGGGAUGUUUUGGUGACAGCGGGGGGGGCGUCCUGAGCCCUGCAGGCUGGGUCUGGGGGGGGGUGUCACCCACCCACCUCCCUGCUGAGCACGGGUGGAUUUUGGGGCAUUUCCAGGCUUUUUGCUCCAGUUCCCAAGGGACGGGUGGUUCCCGUUGGCAGAGGGAAAGGCCACGUGUCCCCGGCCGUGGGAGCUGGAGCGGGGCCGGGGCUGUCCGGGGGGGGGUCCUGCCCCCCCCAAACCCCCCAGCCCCAGCAGCUCUGCUCCUCCCCGCACCAAGCCACUGCCAGCCUUGGGGUGGGGGGGUCAGGCUGUGCCCGUGGGAGCUGCUGCGGACCACGAUGGAGCAGGAGCGCGGCUGGGUGGCAUGGGGGGGCCCGGGGGUUGCCAGCACCCCCAAACCCAAAAUGCAGAUGGCGGGGGGGGUGUCCAUGGAAGGGGGGGCGUGCACAGGUGCAUGAUGCAUGUGGUGUGUGCAACACGUAUGUGUUGUGUGUGUGCACGCAGGUGUGUGUGAGUGAGUGUGCGGUGCACGCUCUGGGUGUGGGGAGGGGGGCACAGGGUGGCACAGGGGGUGCUUGGGGUGCAUGCAGGGUGCAUGGGGUGGUGCAGGGGAUGCCAUGGGAUGCACACGGGGGGGCACGGGGGGUGCAUGGGACGCAUGCAGGGUGCACGGGGGUGGCACAGGGGGUGCUUGGGGUGGCAUGGGGGUGCACGGGAUGCACGCGGGGUGGCACAGGGAGUGCUUGGGGUGGCACAGGGGGUGUCAUGGGAUGUGCGUGGUGUGGCACGGGGGAUGCUUGGGGUGACAUAGGGCGUGCCAUGGGAUGCACCUGGGGUGGUACAGGGGUGCCACGUCUUGCACACCCUCUGGUCGUGCCCCGCUGGAGCCGCGUCCCCAGGUCGGGCGAGGUGACAGCGGCGAGGCCGAAGGAGCGGGAUCUCCUCGCAGGCGUGAAGCUGCCGUCUAAGGACCUUAAGCUCUCCAAAGCCGAUCAGCCCCGCACCGGGGCUGCCGUGGGGCUGGGGGCCGGGCCACGGGGCUGCCCCACGCCGUGCCCCCCAGCAGGUGAGCUGGGGGCCAUGGGGACACGGGCAGGGGCCGUGCACCCAGGUGAGUUACCCAAGGGGUGCUGGUGGGGGGGGUGCAGCCAUUUGGGGGUGCAGCGUGGGGCUGACCCAUAGCAUGUGGGGAGCCAGGGGACAAGGGGGCAGUGGCGAUGUCCUUGCUGUGACACCAAGCAGGGAGCGGAGGUGACACCCGUGGGUGCUAUAGCGCCCUGCCCACCCGGUGCUGCCUUAAGCAGGAUCAUCCCCUUAAGGGGUUUAUUGGCACCCAGGGAGCGGGGGCUUUGCUGGGGGGGUGCACGGGGUGGCUCUGCUGGGCUAAUUGGCUCAGGGGCUUAAUGAAGGCACUGCCGCCAUGCGUCCUCCUGUGCCCCCUCCCACAGGGUUGCCGGCAGGUCCCCAAACUGGGGCUGCUGUGGUGGGGGCCCUCAUUUUCAACACCCCCCAAUAUUAUAAACCCAAAGCAGAGCCCCCCAGGCAGUCUGCGGCCCCCUCCAGCCCAGGGGUGUCCUGGCAGCACCGGCUGUGGGGGGACACCCAGACAGGGCUAUGGGUGCUUGCUGCCCCCCCCCCAGUGCCCCGGUCCCUCCCCAGGGCUGCAGCGCUGCGUGUCCAUGCGCUGCCGCAGAUUACACAGUGCCCG
rnacentral:lncRNA from 1 species